UUUCCUCAGUUUUGUAAUGCCUUACUCACUUCUCUGAAUUAUAUUUUUUUCCUCCUGCAUCUCCUUCGUUGUCUUAACUCCUUUGUGACCAUCGUUGUAGUCAUUAAGGCUCUAAACUCUUUGUUCACACUUGCUUUGUUUCAUCCUUAUAGCUCCCUUACAGCGUUGUCGCCCUUUCUCUCUCUUUCAUUUGCUUUGUUUAAAUGUGAAAAUUUAUAUUUUACAUUAUCAUCUUCCUUGUGUAAUUUUUAUUAUAUCCCAUUAGUUUCCAUCCUGUGAUUGCGUGUUCCUCACCUCCUGACUUUCUUCAAUUUGCUUCUCUCUCCGCCUUCUCAUGCCUUGCUACUUUCCAUGUCCACCUUUAGUUUGCUUCUUAUGGUUUUUGUGUUCCUCGCUACCUUACUUUCUUCAAUGUACUCCUCUGUCUCACUCCACCUUCUCACGCCUCGCUACUUUCCAAGUCAACCCUCAUCAUGUUACCCUUCCCUUCUCACCCUCUUAAUCCUCUCAUCGUCAUGCAUCUCAAAUUGCCAACCUGUCCUCAGUCUUGUAUGUCAACAUAAUUCCUAACUAGUAAGGAACCAUUUGUAUAGUAUUAUUUUAAAUGAAACUCUUAGGUUAGGUUGGCACUGGUACAUGACCUACCGUAUUUAACCGAACAUAACACAAAACAACAUAACCUGACCAAACAAUACAACAUAAAAAUAAAAGAAUUCAGCCACGGCAUACUAGGUAGGCCGUUCUUAAUUAAAUCCAGCCAUUCUUACCCACAUAUUUGUCCAGUAUAUUCCCAAAGCUACAUAACACAUGGCAAAACAACCUAAUAAAAUCUAACAAUUGAACUUGCACGGCAACCUAACCAAAGCUAACAUAACUUAAUACAACUUAACCAAACAUAACUCAACCUAACACAUACCAGAGAUAAGCCAAGGUAUUAGAUUUUUUAAAGUAACAUUCUAAUUGCUUAUGAAAUGCAACUUUCUCGUACCUAUACAUAAAAUUGUAUUUGCUAAGCAUUAAAUUUAACACUUACACAGGAGAGGUUGCUUAUUCAGCAUCCCCUCCCCUACAUCCUUCGUCUCUUACCUCUUGGUCUCCAACUUGUCCUUGACACUUUCUUUAGCGCUCUCACUCUAUUCCCACGUCAUUUAUCUCUAUCCCUCCCUCCCGUCUUACACUUUUCCUAGCUGUUCUUAGGACCAAAGUUUUGGUAUUUGGUAAAGAAGGUGGGCCCGGAUGUGUGUUGUUCAUGGCCGGAGACAGGAGGAGGGCGGGUGUGGGCGCAAGUGCAACGUGACUGAAGCCCACUUGUUGCAUUGUGUAGCCACUCUUUGUGUUAGGUGGUGGUGAGCAGCAGGUGCGGGUUAACACUUUCACUAGCCACCCCCACACCCAGCUACCAGCCAAUCACUACCCCUCUGCUUCCUCUACUGCCCUCUCUCUCUCUCUCCCUCCAACACUUCCUAGCAAACUUUUCUUGUCAGGCUCAUGCGAGUAAUUUGCUCUUUUAUGUUUUAGGUUUGUAUAUUUUGAAAGUUUUCGUAAUUACCACUAUGUAAAUGGAGGGCGUUCGCAAGGCUAAUAGUGUUAAGGAAGCUGGGAGUAAAAAAAAAUGUUUAAUAUAUUCUGGCAACACCAUGUUGGUAAGCUGCCGCGACCAAUCAGCGAGGACGUUAGAGGCCGUUUUGGAGUUCAUGGUGGUUGCCCGCUGACGAGGGUUGCGAGACAGUUGAUCUUGUGUAGUGUGGUAGCCUGCUAGUCUGCUGCUAGACGCUUCAGUGGGAGGGUGAGAGUUAUCUCUCCUCUGUCCCCCGUCUUGUCCUGUCUGGAGUUAAACUCCACAGAGAAGUCAACCGUGGUUUAUUAAAACCAUCUAAAUACCCGUCUUUGAUGUUCCUAGAUAAUGAGAAAUAUUUAAGUCUUGUGGAUCACAUUUAGUGAAGAGACAGUGUGGUUAUUGUGACUUGAGAUGAAACUGGAGGUGGUGGUGGUGAGCGGAUUCCCGUUCUACUACAGCCUAAAUUGUAUGGGAAAUUUUGAGUUGUGUGGUGUAGUAGCAGCAGCAGGGUGGCGGCAGGCAAGUGUAUGGGCCCAUAGUGGUGUUAUAGCUUGUGUACUAGGUGUGUUCACUGUAUGGCCUGCUCCUGCCCGACCCUCACACGACACACGGCUAGAAUCGAGUGAUGAAGAUAACAUGUGAAGUAACAGGUGUGUCAGUGCCUCUGCUGCUCUCUCCUGCCUGCUAGGCACCACAUUGUGUCACAGCUCUUUGACUGCCAAGUGCCACAGCACACCCUCUCACUCCUAUCUAAAAAAAAAAAAAAAAAAAAAAUUAUUCGUUGUAUCAGCGAAGGUUACCGACCAGUGUUCAU